rnacentral:tRNA from 1 species
GGCUGAAAUUUAGGCAAUAAAUUGUAAAUUUAUUUAUGAAAAGAAUAUUCUUUUA